UCGAGCGAACAGAUAAGGAGCUUGCUCCUUUGACGUUAGCGGCGGACGGGUGAGUAACACGUGGAUAACCUACCUAUAAGACUGGGAUAACUUCGGGAAACCGGAGCUAAUACCGGAUAACAUAUUGAACCGCAUGGUUCAAUAGUGAAAGGCGGCUUUGCUGUCACUUAUAGAUGGAUCCGCGCCGUAUUAGCUAGUUGGUAAGGUAACGGCUUACCAAGGCAACGAUACGUAGCCGACCUGAGAGGGUGAUCGGCCACACUGGAACUGAGACACGGUCCAGACUCCUACGGGAGGCAGCAGUAGGGAAUCUUCCGCAAUGGGCGAAAGCCUGACGGAGCAACGCCGCGUGAGUGAUGAAGGUCUUCGGAUCGUAAAACUCUGUUAUCAGGGAAGAACAAAUGUGUAAGUAACUGUGCACAUCUUGACGGUACCUGAUCAGAAAGCCACGGCUAACUACGUGCCAGCAGCCGCGGUAAUACGUAGGUGGCAAGCGUUAUCCGGAAUUAUUGGGCGUAAAGCGCGCGUAGGCGGUUUUUUAAGUCUGAUGUGAAAGCCCACGGCUCAACCGUGGAGGGUCAUUGGAAACUGGAAAACUUGAGUGCAGAAGAGGAAAGUGGAAUUCCAUGUGUAGCGGUGAAAUGCGCAGAGAUAUGGAGGAACACCAGUGGCGAAGGCGACUUUCUGGUCUGUAACUGACGCUGAUGUGCGAAAGCGUGGGGAUCAAACAGGAUUAGAUACCCUGGUAGU
rnacentral:rRNA from 1 species